ensembl:lncRNA
GAAGUUAGACAAUAUUUGCAUAAAGUUGUACAAUGUUUACAAUCUUACAUUUUAUGCCAAAUCAAUGUUUGUAACAGUUCACAUUUUAAAGUAGGCACAACAGUCAUUUAUUUAUACAUCUCUAAUUUAACAGUAAAGAGGCCCCUUCCAAUCAUUUUCUAUUUUGGCUUUGUUGAAGUCCUUCUUUGUCAUCCCCAGACAAGCUGAUUGGUACCAUCUCUGGCCCACAGAGCAUUCUAUCUGCAGUAUUAAAAACAUAAAACAGGGUUAUGUUUAUUUACAUGUAAAUUACAGUUCUGGAAUUACCCAAAUUCUGUUAGAUGCUUUUACAAUUAGGAACAUUUUCAAAUUGAAUUAGAUUUUUGUUCAAUUGCCAAAUUUACUUUAAAUGACAUGCAUUUGACCACAACCCUGACAGCAGCACACACAACUGUGGUGUUAAUCAUCGUUGAGUAUUCAGGCAAUAUAAAUCAUAUAGUAAUAAAGACAUACAUUUGCAAAAAACGUAUGUGUUGAUAAAAAAGGUAUCACACAUCAAUGUUGUAAUAUCAAAAAUGAUAAUAAUGGCAGUCUUUGACAUCCAAAUCAGUUUAAUUGUCACUUGUGCCAGAUACGUGUCUACCUAUUACAAUGAAUUGCUGCCAUAGUAUGUAUCUAGUAUCUCUCAUAGUAGAGUAAUGAAAUAUAGUAAUGGUAAUAGAACAUUAGAGCAUUAACGGGUUGCAAAGGGGACGGAAAUGUUCCAUGGGAAGUUAAGACCGGGAAUUUUGCUUAAAUUCAUCAAAAAAGUUUGCUUAUAAAAGUUAACCUUUUUUGUGGGAUACACAUAAGGCAAUUCCAGGUCUUGUGGCAUCUUUUGGUUAAACAAUCCCUAAUUAAAUGGAAUUGCCACCCUCUGCAUGCACAGUGUAUUCUUCCAUCAAAUGUGCAGUGCACUCUUCCAUCUCAUGUACAGAUGAUUCUCAAGAUCUUGCACACUAAUGAGAUGCUAUUGAGCCCAGACUACUACACUGUCUGAGCCAAGCACUAGAUUCUUUCUGGAAAAUGCCAUGGGCACUAUCUGAUGUGUGGAGACAUUUCACUGCAGCUAAUGUAGAUGGAAAAGCUGUGUACAUUUGCAAGUACUGUGCCAAAUCAUAUGUGAAGAAUACAACAAAGAUGCAGAAUCAUCUGGCCAUGUGCAUAAAGUUCCCUCAGCGCUCACAACAAGCAACCUCUGACAAAAGUCCCUCUACUUCUAUUCAAGGUGAAAAUUAUGAAUCAGACACCUUAUCGAUAGCAACAGCUCAUGGUCCUCCUGGAAUCAAACAUUUUUUUUUUACUCAAUGGAGGAACGUAGUCAGUGAAAUGCUGAUGAAUGUCUUGCUCGAGCUGUGUAUGCAACUGGUUCACCUCUGAUGCUCACAGGCAAUGUGUAUUGGAAGAGAUUUCUGAAUGUUCUUCGCCCAGCAUACACCCCUCCAACCAGACAUGCUUUAUCUACUAAUUUGCAGAGUUCAACAGAGUUCAAGUGAAGGUCAAGCAAAUCAUAGAGAAAGCAGACUGUAUUGCAAUCAUCUCUGAUGGGUGGUCUAAUGUUUGUGGGCAAGGAAUAAUUAACUACAAUCUCCACCCCUCAACCAGUAUUCUACAAGAG